rnacentral:rRNA from 1 species
AACUGGAGGAGGGUGGGGAUGACGUCAAGUCAUCAUGGCCCUUACGAGUAGGGCUACACACGUGCUACAAUGGCAUAUACAAAGAGAAGCGAACUCGCGAGAGCAAGCGGACCUCAUAAAGUAUGUCGUAGUCCGGAUUGGAGUCUGCAACUCGACUCCAUGAAGUCGGAAUCGCUAGUAAUCGUAGAUCAGAAUGCUACGGUGAAUACGUUCCCGGGCCUUGUACACACCGCCCGUCACACCAUGGGAGUGGGUUGCAAAAGAAGUAGGUAGCUUAACCUUCGGGAGGGCGCUUACCACUUUGUGAUUCAUGACUGGGGUGAAGUCGUAACAAGGUAACCGUAGGGGAACCUGCGGUUGGAUCACCUCCU